GAUGAAGAACGUAGCGAAAUGCGAUAAGUAAUGUGAAUUGCAGAAUUCAGUGAAUCAUCGAAUCUUUGAACGCACAUUGCGCCCGCCAGUAUUCUGGCGGGCAUGCCUGUUCGAGCGUCAUUUCAACCAUCAAGCCCCCGGCUUGUGUUGGGGACCUGCGGCUGCCGCAGGCCCUGAAAAGCAGUGGCGGGCUCGCUGUCACACCGAGCGUAGUAGCAUACAUCUCGCUCUGGGCGUGCUGCGGGUUCCGGCCGUUAAACCACCUUCAUAACCCAAGGUUGACCUCGGAUCAGGUAGGAAGACCCGCUGAACUUAAGCAUAUCAAAAAGCGGAGGA
rnacentral:misc_RNA from 1 species